UCCCUGGUGGUCCAGUGGCUAGGAUUCCCUGUUCCCAAUGCAGGAGGCCUGGGUUCAAUCCCUUGGCAGGGAA
rnacentral:tRNA from 1 species